ACACAUGCAAGUCGAGGGGCAGCGGGAUUGAAGCUUGCUUCAAUCGCCGGCGACCGGCGCACGGGUGAGUAACGCGUAUCCAACCUUCCGUACACUCAGGGAUAGCCUUUCGAAAGAAAGAUUAAUACCUGAUGGUAUCUUAAGCACACAUGUAAUUAAGAUUAAAGAUUUAUCGGUGUACGAUGGGGAUGCGUUCCAUUAGGUAGUAGGCGGGGUAACGGCCCACCUAGCCUACGAUGGAUAGGGGUUCUGAGAGGAAGGUCCCCCACAUUGGGACUGAGACACGGUCCAAACUCCUACGGGAGGCAGCAGUGAGGAAUAUUGGUCAAUGGACGAGAGUCUGAACCAGCCAAGUAGCGUGAAGGAUGAAGGUCCUACGGAUUGUAAACUUCUUUUAUAAGGGAAUAAACCCUCCCACGUGUGGGAGCUUGUAUGUACCUUAUGAAUAAGCAUCGGCUAACUCCGUGCCAGCAGCCGCGGUAAUACGGAGGAUGCGAGCGUUAUCCGGAUUUAUUGGGUUUAAAGGGAGCGCAGACGGGUCGUUAAGUCAGCUGUGAAAGUUUGGGGCUCAACCUUAAAAUUGCAGUUGAUACUGGCGUCCUUGAGUGCGGUUGAGGUGUGCGGAAUUCGUGGUGUAGCGGUGAAAUGCUUAGAUAUCACGAAGAACUCCGAUUGCGAAGGCAGCACACUAAGCCGUAACUGACGUUCAUGCUC
rnacentral:rRNA from 1 species